GAUGAUGAAGAGGAGGCUGAAGAUGAGGUGAAAAUCUCUCCUGUUUUAUGUAGUUAUGUUUUCAUUUUAAUGUGAUAUAUGUCAUAGCUGGUUGUUUGAUUAGAAGGCUUUCUUGCUAGUCUAUAUUAAGUGUAAUUUAUUCUGUUUUAUUUGAUACUGUGUGGAUUGUUUAUUUUGUGUGUUACUUUUGUUAAUUUCUCUUGCUAUUUGUUUUCUAAGAUAUGCAUGUCCUGCAAUGUUUGACAAUUCUUUUCUAAUUUAUGGUAUUUUCUUGCUUCAAUCUGCGUGAUUCAUGUGCUUAUUGCUGCCGAAGAAUUGUCAUCUUAUUUGAUCUCCAUAACCAUUGAUCAAUUUGAUCGUUACAUGAUUGUUGCUGGAAAUACCAGUAAUUUUUGGUAGCAUAUUGGUUAGAAAGUCUUGUUAUAUCAGAUUACCCCCAAAAGAAAUAUUAAUUUCAUGUUAGUAUGAACCUGGAAGUUUUGGUGCACAGGUGGUUUCCGUUGCCACAUUGGAAACCAAGCUGAUAUUGUGAAUCCUUUUUUUUUUGAAAAGUGGUAAUUUCUUAUUAGAUCAAGGUGGUGUGGAAUAUUUAUAUUAUUUCUGCUUGAAUUGUGUUAUUCUACAGAAGAGUGACUAAAGAGGGAUUAAUCAGAAGUUGGUAAGAGGGGAAUAACUUUUGGCACGAUUUAUUUGUGUGAGGUCUUGACCAUAAUUUGGUUAUUCUACCCAAGUUUUAUGCAAAUGCUCAUAAAAAACAUGCCUGCAAAAAAAGGUUCCAGUUGGAUUACAUUUUGAUUUGUGAGAGAUUUUCUGAGAAUUCUCUUUAGAGUUUCUCUCUCAAUUUUUAUACUUGCAAACUGAAUGCUAAGGCUCUAAGUGCAGUGAUCUAGAUUCACAAUUUUCCUUGUCUUUUGUGGGUCUGCUUUUGUGCCAUCUCUUUGUUCCGCCUUUCUUCCUUAUAGCUUAUUGUUUUUAUGCACAAUCUCUUGAUUUCCAAAAUUUUGGAAUCUAAAGUUUGCUGUGAUCUGCCCUGUCCCCAUUGAGCUUGUUUCUCUUGGAAGAAACUUCCUUGAACCUCUUUUUUGGGGGGUUAUCUCCUCCUGGCUUAAGAUAGUAUUAUCAGUUACUUACAAAAGGGGUGUCGGAUUAUGGUGUUUUUAGUUUUUCAUCUUUUUGUUGGUUUUAAAUUGAUGUACUUUAAUGGAUCUCCGACCAAUUCAUUUUUCGGACUUUUACUUUUCUGCCAUCAUAUCCCGUAGAGGUGACCAUGUCAAUUGCCAAAGUAUAGGGAAUGUUACCUUGUCGAAUCUGCUGCUUAUGUGCUAUUCUGCAUUUUCUUAGUUUUCAUCAAGUGAUUUUCUAUUUUCUGACUAAAAAUUCGUUUUUUUGUUUUUUCCCUUUUCUGUCAUUAUAUAUCAUUAUCUUCCUUUUUUUCCCGGAAAGGACUGUUUGAUUUUGCUGCUAAGGUAUAUGCGAUAAUUUGGUGGUGUUGAAUUCACUGCUUAUGUUACUUUCCACUUUUCUGCCUUGGUGUCGUAAUGGUUAUUUUAUAUUUUUUUUUUUCUUACUGCUAAAAGAUAUGUUUUCUGAGUUCUAUUGGCCUAGCUUCGUUUGCAUAUUUAAAUGAUCUACUUCCACAGAUGUGUUUUAUGGCCUUUUGAUUUUAUCUGAACCUUGGUAAUUGUUUUAUGGUUAAUUUGGUGAUCAUUAUCUUGUUAUCACCUUAAAAUUUUGCAUCUUAGGGUUUUGCAGUAUAUCAGUUGACCACCCUUAUCUAGGUUUGUGGAGCUUACUAUGCUAAUUUUCAUUUAAAUGGCAGGAGGAAGAUAAUGGCAAUGGCUACCUUGUUCAACCAGUUGGUCCUAUUGAAGUAGAUGAUGCUGAAGGCAGUGAUAUGGAGCCAGUAAAUGGUGAUGAAGAUCCUGAGUUGGAGGAAGAAGUUGAAGAUGAAGAGGACGACUAUGGUGAAGUUCAAGAGGUGCCACCUUCCUCCUCUCAAAAGAGGAAGCGGGAUGAUGACGAUGAUGAUGAUGGUGGUGAAGAAGAUGAUGAUGAAGAGUAUGCAAAGUCAUCCAAGCAUCGUUAGUGACUUUAUCUGUGGUGGGUUUGACGAAAGUGAUGAACUUGAGGAAUAGAUUUGUCUGGAGGCUGGAAGUAGUUGACUGUUGAACGUCUUUUCAUGGACAGAACACAUGUUUUGGUGGGAAAUUCAGGUCUGAGAGGUAUACAAAUGUUCAAAAGGUCGUUAGUAAAUAUUGGCCGUUGGGUUGUGAUUCAAAUGGCAGUUGAUGGGGAGAUCCAAUCCGCUUCAUGAGUAGGUUAUUGGAGGGGAAUUUGAAUUGGGGAAAAGCUAAAAAGAAAACCUCUGCUAGUUCAACAAUAGAAGUAGUGAUAGAAUUUGUUUUCCGCCUUUUUUCUUGAAUUUUAAAAAGGACGCUUUGCUUUUCCUGGGGGAUAGUUUUUAAUUGGCUUGUAAAACAGUCUUGUGGAUAGUUGUCUCAGUUAAGUGUGACCGUUUAUCAUUGUGAUGAGUCCGUCCUUUGAUCCAAUUAUGUCACAUGCAAUUUGCUGUCAGCCUACUUUUACAUCUAAUUUUUUUUGGCAA
rnacentral:lncRNA from 1 species